rnacentral:lncRNA from 1 species
UAGAUACAGUUGGCUGAUGAUGUUCAGUUCUCAUAAUCUUGCAGAUUUUCUAUGUACUAGUUCUAUUCAUUACUGAGCAAGGAGUAUGAAAUCUCCAACUCUAACUGCUUGUGAGAUCCUAAACAAAGAACCUACUAAGUUCUGCCCAGAUUUCUCACUUACAGAACAGUAAGAUAACAGACUUGUAUGGUUUUCAGCCGCUAACUUUGUGGUAAUUUGUUAUGCAGCAGUAGAAAAUUAAUACGGAUGCCUUUCCACAUUAAAUCAGUGCUGGCCUAUGUGAUCAGUACAGUAUGGAGGAAGCAACAAUGUGUGACUUUGUUUCUGUGUGUGUGUGUGUGUGUGUGUGUGUGUGUGUGUGCGCGCGCGCAUGUGUAUUUGUAGAGAUGGGGUCUCUCUUUGUUGCCCAGCCUGGUCUUGAACUUCUGGCCUCAAGCAAUCCUCCCAACUCUGUGUGACUUUGACGACUACAUCACACAAGCGUCAUGGCAGCCCUGUGAAGAGGCUGACUUGGAAAAAAAAAAAAAAAAGAAAUGCUUCUGCCAACGUCCAGCAACAUCUUCCAGCCAUAUGAAUGAGCCACCUUGGAAGUGGAUCCUCCAGCUCCAAACAAGUCUUCAGAUGUGUGUAACCCCAGCCAAUAUCCAACUGAAACCUCAUGAGAGACCCUUGGCCGGAACUACCUAGCCAAGCAACUCCUGAAAUCCUGAUCACAGAAACAGUAAGAGUCUCCACAGAGAAUAGAGCAGGAGUUGAUGAGUCUUGCAAUGAGAGAAUUGAUGAAAUACUUAAGGAAGAACUUCUUAACUGAAGGGCAAUUAAACACAAAUGGCUUUGCAUGGGAGGAUAUGGAAAUCUUGCUCCUUUGUGAUCUUUGAAAAGAGGCAGCAGCUGUUGUGAGCAACUUAAGACUCACAGAGUGCUAUCCUGGAGGAGGAGGAGGAUGAACCACAUCCUGGGAAUAACUCUCUAUACACUUUAACAUAUUUUCCUGGUGGUCCUUAUGCACACUACAGUUUGAGAAUCAUGGUUAUUGAGAAAUAAAAG